GGGUCUGUGGUCUAGGGGUAUGACACUCCCUUAGCAACAUCAACAGCUCUCCUCUAUAGGAAGCUUCUGAUUGCGCUAGAAUAGCAUGGGAGAGGUCCCGGGUUCAAUUCCCGGCGGAUCCA